AUGUCUGAGCGCGGCAACAUAGACACGGGGCUUGGCAAGGGCGGCGCCGAGCGCCACUGGAAGGUGCUAUUUGACAAGAUCCAGGGCAUCACUAAGCCGACGAUCCAGAGGAUUGCUGAGAGGGGUGGCCUGAAGCAUAUCUCCGUCCUCAUCUACUUGGAGAACCACGGCGUGCUCAAGAUCUUCCUCGAGAAAGUCAGACGCGAAACCAUCACCUACACCGAUCAUGCCCGCUCCAAGACCGACACCGCCAUGGAAGUCCUCUACACCCUUAAGCAUCGGGGCCGCACCCUCUACGACUUCGCUGACUAG
rnacentral:rRNA from 1 species